rnacentral:rRNA from 1 species
UGGGCGUUAAGUUGCAGGGUAUAGACCCGAAACCCGGUGAUCUAGCCAUGGGCAGGUUGAAGGUUGGGUAACACUAACUGGAGGACCGAACCGACUAAUGUUGAAAAAUUAGCGGAUGACCUGUGGCUGGGGGUGAAAGGCCAAUCAAACCGGGAGAUAGCUGGUUCUCCCCGAAAGCUAUUUAGGUAGCGCCUCGUGAAUUCAUCUCCGGGGGUAGAGCACUGUUUCGGCUAGGGGGCCAUCCCGGCUUACCAACCCGAUGCAAACUGCGAAUACCGGAGAAUGUUAUCACGGGAGACACACGGCGGGUGCUAACGUCCGUCGUGAAGAGGGAAACAACCCAGACCGCCAGCUAAGGUCCCAAAGUCAUGGUUAAGUGGGAAACGAUGUGGGAAGGCCCAGACAGCCAGGAUGUUGGCUUAGAAGCAGCCAUCAUUUAAAGAAAGCGUAAUAGCUCACUGGUCGAGUCGGCCUGCGCGGAAGAUGUAACGGGGCUAAACCAUGCACCGAAGCUGCGGCAGCGAC